AGCUCCAAUUAGUGUAGCCUAAUUUGUAUCUGCAACUGUGCAGAAAUACAGGAUUUUAACAGAAUUAAUAG